UACGUAGGCGGCGAGCGUUGUCCGGAUUUAUUGGGUUUAAAGGGUGCGUAGGCGGCUUUGUAAGUCAGUGGUGAAAUACUCCAGCUUAACUGGAGGGGUGCCAUUGAUACUGCGGAGCUUGAGUACAGAUGAGGUAGGCGGAAUUGACGGUGUAGCGGUGAAGUGCAUAGAUAUCGUCAAGAACACCGAUAGCGAAGGCAGCUUACUGGGCUGUAACUGACGCUGAUGCACGAAAGCGUGGGUAGCAAACAGG
rnacentral:rRNA from 1 species